AUUGAACGCUGGCGGCAGGCCUAACACAUGCAAGUCGAACGGUAACAGGAAGAAGCUUGCUUCUUUGCUGACGAGUGGCGGACGGGUGAGUAAUGUCUGGGAAACUGCCUGAUGGAGGGGGAUAACUACUGGAAACGGUAGCUAAUACCGCAUAACGUCGCAAGACCAAAGAGGGGGACCUUCGGGCCUCUUGCCAUCGGAUGUGCCCAGAUGGGAUUAGCUAGUAGGUGGGGUAACGGCUCACCUAGGCGACGAUCCCUAGCUGGUCUGAGAGGAUGACCAGCCACACUGGAACUGAGACACGGUCCAGACUCCUACGGGAGGCGGCAGUGGGGAAUAUUGCACAAUGGGCGCAAGCCUGAUGCAGCCAUGCCGCGUGUAUGAAGAAGGCCUUCGGGUUGUAAAGUACUUUCAGCGGGGAGGAAGGGAGCAAAGUUAAUACCUUUGCUCAUUGACGUUACCCGCAGAAGAAGCACCGGCUAACUCCGUG
rnacentral:rRNA from 1 species